rnacentral:rRNA from 1 species
CCAGCAGCCGCGGUAAUUCCAGCUCCAAUAGCGUAUAUUAAAGUUGUUGCAGUUAAAAAGCUCGUAGUUGAAUUUCGGGAUCAAUNCGUCGGUCGUGCCUCCGGUAUGUACUGGCGUUGUUGGUUUCUCCUUUCUGAGGAGCCAUGAUGCCAUUAAUUUGGUGUCGUGGGGAAUCAGGACUGUUACUUUGAAAAAAUUAGAGUGUUUAAAGCAGGCACACGCUUGAAUACAUUAGCAUGGAAUAAUGAAAUAGGACGUUCGAUUCUAUUUUGUUGGUUUCUAGGAUCAACGUAAUGAUUAAUAGGGAUAGUUGGGGGCAUUAGUAUUCAAUUGUCAGAGGUGAAAUUCUUGGAUUUAUUGAAGACUAACUACUGCGAAAGCAUUUGCCAAGGAUGUUUUCAUUAAUCAAGAACGAAAGUUAGGGGAUCGAAGACGAUCAGAUACCGUCGUAGUCUUAACCAUAAACUAUGCCGACUAGGGAUCGGAUGAUGUUAAUUUUUUAAUGACUC